GUGGGGAAUAUUGGACAAUGGGCGCAAGCCUGAUCCAGCCAUGCCGCGUGAGUGAUGAAGGCCUUAGGGUUGUAAAGCUCUUUCAGUGGGGACGAUAAUGACGGUACCCACAGAAGAAGCCCCGGCUAACUUCGUGCCAGCAGCCGCGGUAAUACGAAGGGGGCUAGCGUUGUUCGGAUUUACUGGGCGUAAAGCGCACGUAGGCGGAUCGUUAAGUCGGGGGUAAAAUCCUGGAGCUCAACUCCAGAACUGCCUUCGAUACUGGCGAUCUUGAGUCCGGAAGAGGUGAGUGGAACUCCUAGUGUAGAGGUGUAAUUCGUAGAUAUUAGGAAGAACACCAGUGGCGAAGGCGGCUCACUGGUCCGGUACUGACGCUGAGGUGCGAAAGCGUGGGGAGCAAACAGGAUUAGAAACCCCUGUAGUCC
rnacentral:rRNA from 1 species